GUUGACGGCCUUCAGGUGCUUCUGAACUGCGACGGCAGGGAGGUGUGGGUUCAGGUGCCAUCCGAUCCAUCAGCAUUCUUUGUCAAUGUUGGUGAUCUCCUCCAGGUAAAGGCAUCAGUUUACCUGAAAAUAAACAGCACUAGUAGAUAAAGUAAAUGAAAAUUGCUUCUAUGAGCUACUUAGAAAUUAAAUUAGCAGACUCUUAAGUCUAAAACAAGCACAGAGGCUAGGCACAACUCAGCACCCCCACCAUUAGUACUCACAUAUGAAAUUGCAUUAUGCAACUCCCGUCUCAGUGCAUCAUAGAAAUAGAUUCUUCACUUACUAAAAACAUGAAAAAGAAAUGUAUCUCUAUUUGAUUCGAACUCUAAAUAGACACCAGGUUAGCUAUUGCUCCUUUUGUGAAAAGAUGGGUCGGCACUGAUAUUUUUGGACACAUCUCUUGGACUGCAUCAAGUACAUCAUACCAACUGACAAGAAUUUCUGUUUUUGUCUUGUUAGUUGUUACUACAUCUGAAUCUAACAAUAACCAGAUAUCAAUCCAUAGUGCAACAAUACAAUAUUAUGUCUCUCAUACUUGGUUUGUAUUCAUCUCUCCUUUCCCUUUCUUGUUCCCAGGCUUUGACAAAUGGGAAGGUGAUAAGUGUCCGGCACAGGGUAAUUGCAAACUCCUGCAGGGCAAGGCUGUCCACAAUCUACUUCGCUGCGCCGCCACUGCAUGCACGAAUUUUGGCCCUCCCAGAGACAAUCACAGCCAACUCACCCCGCCAGUACCGGCCCUUCACCUGGGCCGAGUACAAGAAGACAAUGUACUCCCUCCGCCUGAGCCACAGCCGCCUCAACCUCUUCCACAUCGACCAUGAUGACCACAGCAAUGUCGGCAAAGGAGAACAAGAAUAGGGAGCACUUGCUGAACUGCAGGCAGAGUUAAUGGUGGGGACUAGGUAGGUAGAAUUGUCCCCAAAAUUUUGGCUCUCUGGCUUCCACAGCUAGAUAUCUAGUAUUAUGAUGGUGUAGGGUUGUGAGUCUGCCAAUGUGUAAUAGUAUUUAGCAUUGUACAGAAGUCCUUGUUGUAUGGUACUGAUGUACUAUUGCCUGUUUUAGCAGUUUGUUGUCUCCACCUAACUUUUAUUUACUCUCUCCCCCUUUUCUAGUGUUGCCUUUGCUUAAAGAAACCUCUUCCUUGCACAAAAGUGAGACCUAACUCAGACUCCUGCUGAAAAUUUUGAUACAGUAUCCUUUUUUAAGAAAUCUAAAAUUAAAGGCUAGAAGGAGUUCAAAUGUCACAUAUACUAUAAGCAUAAGUUAGUUCAAGGAAGUGAUAGAAUGUUCCAGUAAUUAAUUCUGCAAAUCCAUUCCAUCACAAACUAUUCCCCACUCUUUAUCACCUUCGCAGUGCAAAUAUUGACCCAAAUUGAGCUAUAUCAUAUUAUCUAUAUGAAUAAUAAGCACAUUUUUUUUCUCGAACACACAGGAGAGCUAUGAAUCAUUAUAUUAAGAAGAAAAGGAAAGCGGAUUGACUCCAUACAAAAUCCACACACUCAUGCCUCACACCUUGCAGUGAGUUGCACAUGCCCAUAAACAACCUGACCACAUCCUAGAGGCUACAGCCUUAAAGGGCGCUUGCCUCCAACUGGCUCAAGGACCAGCAUUAUUCAUCACUAUUAAAAAGAACCUAAUUCAGUUUCAAAUCAUAGGCAGCGAAUACAAAAUGAGUUAAUUUUAGUUAUCUGCCAUUCUUCAUGACAUCAGAAUCAAAGUAAAUUACCAAAUGUGGAUUCAACAAAAGAAUAAGCAAAUCUCAUAUUAAUGGUAAAGGGGGAAUAUAUCACAGUACAUCCUGAAAUGGAGUUUAUGGUGAUCGAUUUACAAAAGCAAUGGCCUAUUUCGAUGAUAUUUCAACCCAAGUUGGUUUUGUUGUCCUCGACUGUCCAUAUUAAAUGAUGAGAGAACAAAAAAAACAUGAUUUGAGCAAAUCAAUGUAUUGGCCCCUCUCAUAUAUAGUCACACACCUACAGUCUUUCAGACUGUUAUACAGUGUGAAUCUCUCUGAUUGAGAAUUAAUACCUUACAUUGUAUGCGAUGGCAAGAAAAGCAAGAAAAGACAGAGACUCAGUGAAGCUGCAUGGCUUUUUUUUUGAGAGAGAGAGAGAGUUAGCUGCAUGGAGUGAGUAUGCCUAUUAUUUGGGAGAAGUAUUAGGCAGAGUGCUGUCCUGGGAAAACUUCAAUGUCCAACUCCCACAGCAAGACACCACAGGCAUUGCCAAAUGGUGGGAGGAGGCAGCAAGCAAGGUGCCAAAGCAGGAUUGAAGGUGGUUCAAUGGAAUCCCGAAUCCUCAUUUACAUUAUAUGGAACUUGUAAAAGGAGAGGAAUAGGAGGAUUUUCGAAAACAAACACAAAACGGUGAAGGACCGAAAACGGCGACCAGAGGGGGGGUGAAUGGGAGCCUCAAAUUUCUUUCGAAAUAUUUAGCCACUGUCCCGAGUUCACCACCAAACGCGCAACAACUCCAAAUCUAGAAUACUCACGCCAACUGAUGCCGGAAGUACCUAGAGAAAUUUCUUAGGACUAUAGAUGUUCAAUGCAAGAGACAAAAUACAAAUCGAAGUCCAAAGAACUAAGUUGUGGACAAAACGGAAAAUUAGGGCCAGAGAAAAUUCAUUAGAAAAUCGCCAAGAAAAACGGACAGAGUAACGGCUUAAAAAUGGAGCACUCUAUUUUACCAGCGAGAACUGGAUCCCUGCAAAACAAAUCACUGAAUUGGAUUUGCUCGGCACUCGAUGGUGCGCGGCCUACCAAUAAAAAAAACACAACCAGUUAGGAGAUGAACGAACUGCUACUUAGCUCCUGACAAAAAGAUGAAACGAUUUGCUUGCAAACUGAAACAAGAGAUUGAAUGGAACAGCAGCCUGAGCAACGAACUACUAGCAGCUGCCAGUUCGUGCUUGGAUGAGCACUUGCUCGGGCUCAGCGCUGAGUGUUUGAAGCUGUCCGGCUGUCAUCCAUAGGAGCCGCUGCAAUGAAGGGCAACUGAAGCAAAACGCUAGGCAACGGGAGCCCUCCUGGGACUGCAACGAGUGCUGCUCAAGUGAGCCAGCAAGGUGCUUGAAUACUAAAUGCUGCUUUGGUAGCACUGCUGCUAGUUCAGGCCAUGACAGCACCCUUCCAGACUCCCGUAUGAAGCACGAACUAUAGAACAAGAACGAAGCUGAACAGACAGAGAGAGGAGCGGUCACAAAAACAACAAAAAAUUCAACCAAAAACUCCACGAAAAACUCUUAAACUUGGCAUAGACCAAAUUCAACCUAGCACGAACUCAUCCCCAAAAAAUCAUUGUCUAGGAUUAAGCCAAUCUCUAGGAAAAUCAGAUCACGUGCAAGAACUCGAAAAAUAUCCCCAAAACCGAAAAUUGCUCAGAUCUUGAUGCACAAGUGGAAAUUGCUCAAAUCACUCGGUCAUCCUGUUCAUCACUUGGUAAAGCAUCAAACUGACCAAACAAACUCCAUAGAAAACUUAAAACUAGCACGAAUCAUGGAAGCGAAAAACAGGUGAACAGUAACUCACUCGCAAAAAUAACAGACACAAACACUGCUUAAUGAUACACGAAAAUCACAGCUAAGUAUGUUGAAUCCCGGAGGACAAGUGGAGGAUUUGGGCCUCCAUUCCCAACUCAAAAUCACACGAAAAAUCACCACGAAAAAUCAGUUCAUGGCACUCUCUCUUGAGAAAAUCUAAAAAAAAAAACUGACCCUAGAGAGAGAGCGCGCUACGGGAGAGAGAGAGCGGUAGGUGGAGAGGGUUUUUUUAGAUGGGGAACUCCCGGUUUAUUUAUCAGGCAUAUUACAUAUUUCCCAAAUGUCCCUAAAUAUUUUUGAGCGAACUAGCUAGCCCCAGGGGCAUUCUAGUCCAACUCGUCAUGACCUAAAUCCGACGACCACCGCGCCUCCUCACCGGUAGCCUCGCUCCAAAGCGAUCUCACCGAUGCCGCCACGUGCCAUCCGUCUGCAUCGGGACCUCCGCCCGGGUUUUGAGGCCCAAACCCGCGAAACCCGCCGCGAGUAGCGUACUCCAUACGCUUCCCCGCCACUCGACACGUGUCACCGCCGUCCUCGACCGGCCGGCCCGCUAAGUCCUCCUGAGCCUCGCUCGACUCGCGUCUGCCGUCUUGACUUGGUCAACACGGUCACUCCCAUGUACUCUUGCACUUGUCGAUGUCCCAGAUGUCAGCCACUGCGGCUGGUCAUCCGGCCUCCUGGUCCGUCAGUCCAAGCCUCACGUCCAUCCUUCACCGCUCCAGGUCCAUCGGCAUGGCACGUCUCUACUUGACCUUCUCCUCGCCAUCGACCACCGCCUCCGAGCUCCACAACUGAAGACCACAAGCCAAAAGACAUGUCGCACACAUAGCUUUCGCCAUGGUAACGUUAGUCACUGACUCAACCUAUUCGUGGAUCACGUUGACAAUCACUCAUCACAAAACGAACCACAAGGGUACUUCUCAACCUUGUGUUCGCAAACGGUCCUACAGGUGGCCUCAUUGACAAAAGAGGAUAUCAUGCAAAGACGCAGGGCUGUAUCCUUUGAUGGGUAAACACCAGUAGCGGUGCGACAUGCUUGUCUUGCCCCGGUCCUAGGACCGUAGUGUUUGGCACCAGAGGGUGCCUUGUGCACAUAAACUUCUUUAUCCUUACUUAAUUGAGCGGUAGAGCUCCUGCCUUUUAUUUCAAAAAAAUUAGGCAGACCUCGAGCAGCUAUGGUCCUAUUUGGGAGCUAGAAUGGCAGCACCAUGUUUGUUACUACAGCAUAAUCCUGAAUCUCACAAAAACAGUAAGAGCCCUGCCUAAUACAUCCAAGAUAGUUAUGCAGGAUGCCAUCGUCAUAGCUGCAUGAGCCAUGAUUGCAGUUGACCAAUGCAUUUAUAGUUGUUCAAGACAGCUCUAAUCGCUGCAUAUUCAUGCAAUCUAUUUUAAGGAAACAAGGUAUAGUGAUCAGUAACAGGGGAAAAAAACUUGAAAGGUAUUUCUGAUGACGGCAUAUACAUGUCAAAAUGGAGUAAACUGAGAUCCAACAUUGUGAUAACACAAUGAGCAGAAAUAAAGGGGGUUAACUCUUGUUAGAACAGACAUGCUCUGGUGAUUUUUUUUGAGUUGUGAGACCUCAAAGAAAAAAUAGGUCUAUGGUAUAAAUAUAUGCUACCAAACAGAUGAGAAAAGGUCUCCAUAGCAAAUUGCAAAUAUUAACUGCACUGGUUGCUUGCAAGACUGCAACGAAAAAAGCCUAGAGUAACUGGAUAAAUUACAAUCACCGGUGAACAAAAAUUUCAGUACUUCUAGGCAUGCUUUAGUGAUGAGAAUUUUGAUGCUGAUGGGGAAAAAAAGAAGAUAUUUGUGUUUUGAUGUACUAGGUAUUAAAUUGCUUGUAGUCAGGAGGGCAGCUGAGCACUAGAAUUUGAUGAGGAAAUAAGAUGUGGAUUAGCAUCUGCAUUCUAAAGGAUCCCUGAAUACUUCCAGGUUUCCAGCUCUAGAAAUCAUAAGACAUCAGCCGAAUUGCUUAAAUUGUUUGCACUUAUGAUAGAAUCUGGAAAUAUCAGUUCAAGGACAUGUAAGCAAGGUUUGCACAUGGGAAAUAAUAGAUUGAUUAUGAGGUGCAAUAUGCACGCAUGUAUGAAUCUAUGACUUACGGGAACAAAACCAAUAAAUGAAGAUCUUGCCUAUGAGUCUAUGACUAAUCACACAAUGUGCAAGGGCUCAAGGCUUGAUGCGGCAUGUCACAUGUCGGCCCAACCAGCCGAACUAGGGCACUGACCAUCUGUCUAACAGGUUAGAAUUUUAAGCAACUAAGUGGACAAAUAGAUGUUAACACUUUUUAUUCAUGCUUUAACUUCAUUACCUACAAAUCCUCAAGCUUCUGCAAUUCCAUUUCUGGAUUAGAUGUUACAUGGUGGCAUGGUGCUUGAAAGAGCGUGCGGAAAGGCAAUGAGAUAUUCCAUGACACGCCUAUAUGAACAAUCCAUACACUAGACUAGGGGUAGAGCAUACUUGAGAUGCUUAGUUUAAUGUAUUUGAUUGGAAAAAAUAGCUUCUAAUGGAGAACGCAUUUAAGUAGCUACUAGAGCCUAGAUUAGUCAAUUUCAUUCCUGUUGUAUGUGAAAUUGAUUCUUCAAAAUUACAUCCAGCAGAUCACAGCAUGGUAUGUGGAUUCUGCAUUGAAGGAUGGCACAGAAGGGGACACUUCCAGAUUCGUAAGUCCACGAAACAAAAUGUUCACUUGCAGGCCUUGUUUAGUUCCAAAAUAUUUUGCAAAAUCGACACUGUAGCUUUUUCGUUUGUAUUUGACAAAUAUUGUCAAAUCAUGGACUAACUAGGCUCAAAAGAUUCGUCUCGUCAAUUUCGACCAAACUCUGCAAUUAGUUUUUAUUUUUGUUUAUAUUUAAUACUUCAUGUAUAUGUCUAAAGAUUCGAUGUGACGGGGAAUCUGAAAAAUUUUGCAAAACUUUUUGGGAACUAAACAAGGCCCAAAGGUUGGCAGUUCAAAACAUAAACAAGGCCCAAAGGUUGGCAGUUCAAAACAUGCGGCAGACUUCAUACCCUGCCAGUUUUAGUUUCUUUUUUUUUUGAAAGAUCCACAUCAAAUCGACAUAAUCCCUAUAAUUCCAGGCACUUGGUCUAACGCAAGCUCACUUUACUUAGAGAGAUGAAUGAACAAUAGAUAAUUUCGCACUAAAAAGUUCGUAAAUUGAAAGCCGAACCAUUUGAGCACAAACAAAAUGUAGCAAAAAUAUAAAUAUCUCCCCCAACACGUCUACUCUCACCGAGACAAGAAAAGACCAUACUUGAGUAGUAAUCCCCCAUCCUUUUACCUGAUCUCCGGGCUUGAGGUUGCAGGCACGCAAAAUGCAGUUAGCGAGGGAAAUCGCCGAGCUUUCCUGAGUCCUGAUGAUGCCGGCCCACCUGGGCGGGCAAGGGUGCUACCGGCGGCGGCACGAAGACCUAACGGAGCAAGCAUCUGGUCCCAGACUCCCAGCCCAUCAGCUCGGCGGACUCGCCCGCCGCCGAACCUCAGCAGAUCCGCCCGCCGUCGCAUUUCGGCGGCGACUCCUCGGCGGCCAGCUGGGAAUGGGAAAGGCUU
rnacentral:lncRNA from 1 species